rnacentral:rRNA from 1 species
CGAAAGUGAUAAGUAACCCACCUGGGGAGUACGUUCGCAAGAAUGAAACUCAAAGGAAUUGACGGGGGCCCGCACAAGCGCUGGAGCAUGUGGUUUAAUUCGAUGAUACGCGAGGAACCUUACCAGGGCUUAAAUGUAAGUUGCAUUAGUUAGAGAUAGCUAUUUCUUCGGACUACUUACAAGGUGCUGCAUGGUUGUCGUCAGCUCGUGCCGUGAGGUGUCAGGUUAAGUCCUAUAACGAGCGCAACCCCUGUUGUUAGUUGCCAUCGAGUCAUGUCGGGAACUCUAACAAGACUGCCGGUGCAAACCGCGAGGAAGGUGGGGAUGACGUCAAAUCAUCACGGCCCUUACGUCCUGGGCUACACACGUGCUACAAUGGCCGGUACAGAGAGCAGCCACUACGCGAGUAGGCGCGAAUCUUCAAAGCCGGUCUCAGUUCGGAUCGGAGUCUGCAACUCGACUCUGUGAAGCUGGAAUCGCUAGUAAUCGGAUAUCAGCCAUGAUCCGGUGAAUACGUUCCCGGGCCUUGUACACACCGCCCGUCAAGCCAUGGAAGUUGGAAGUGCCUGAAGUCCGUUACCGCAAGGAGCGGCCUAGGGUAAAGUCGAUAACUAGGGCUAAGUCGUAACAAGGUAGCC